rnacentral:lncRNA from 1 species
UGCAACCAACAUAAUACAAAAAAGAUUUCUUCCUAUAAUCUAGAUUUAUGUAUAUAUGAGAACAAAAGUUAACUAAAGAGUAUAUCUUUUAAAAAAAAUGACCAUAUUAAUAUAUUCAGAUGUUAUUAUGAUAUACAAAAUUUAAAAGUGUUUGCGUAUGUCAAUAUAGUCUCAUAUCGUUCAAGAAUUGAUGUUAAAGGCAAUUUAUAUACUUCAUUCUCCCUUUACCCUUUACCCUUCAAGGUGCCUUUUCAGGAUAAAAUUGGAGUACUAAUCUCUAAAGCGAAC